GAGGGUUGAUAGGUUAAGAGCUGAUUAAUUGGACGUUACCUACAGAAGAAGCACCGGCUAACUCCGUGCCAGCAGCCGCGGUAAUACGGAGGGUGCGAGCGUUAAUCGGAAUUACUGGGCGUAAAGAGUGCGUAGGUGGUGAGUUAAGUUAUCUGUGAAAUCCCUGGGCUCAACCUGGGCAGGUCAGAUAAUACUGGUUCACUCGAGUAUGGGAGAGGGUAGUGGAAUUUCCGGUGUAGCGGUGAAAUGCGUAGAGAUCGGAAGGAACACCAGUGGCGAAGGCGGCUACCUGGCCUAAUACUGACACUGAGGCACGAAAGCGUGGGGAGCAAACAGGAUUAGAUACCCUGGUAGUCCACGCUGUAAACGAUGUCAACUAGCUGUUGGCCUCAUAAAAGGGGUUAGUGGCGCAGCAAACGCGAUAAGUUGACCA
rnacentral:rRNA from 1 species